GUGCUGAGAAUUAAAUAAAGGGU
rnacentral:piRNA from 1 species